UUUAGGGUUUUCUCAAAACGCGAAUCUGCAAUUUUGUAGAUCUAACAGUUACUUGCUUAGCAGGAGAGCUAAGAAAAUUGCAGUGGAUGGCAGAGAUUAUGUUGAUUUCUCCUAUCCUGCACCACCUGUUGGAAUUGAAGCUACACCAAAUAAAGCCGAUGAGAAAUUUGCAUCAAGAAAAUCGAUUGAGGAAGAGGUAAUGGUAUCUUUGAGAAAUGAGAGAUCACUAUUAUUGGAAAAUGUGGUAUGGGCGGAGUGGGUAAAAUAACACUUGUAUGGCUUAAAAUUCACGUAGAAGCUUCGGAAAUAUUCUUGUAAUCGCUGAAUACAAGUUUUAUGUAAAUAAACUUUCACAACGGAAAUAGAAGUAAACUGAAGGAAGAUAGCCUGCACAAUGAGCAAUAGCUAUUCAUCUAGCAACAUUUGUAGUCUCAUCUCGAGGCGAAUUAUGUUUUAAUUUGCCAUGCGUAUACGAGGCUCAUCGUACCCCGAUGCCUCCAAAAGGCUCUUAAGGCAAAUCGGCGUUGACCAGCUAUUCUCGGAAUUUGUAAUUGCAUAAAACUUCCGAACCAAUUUUGUAAUCACAACCAAUUUUGUAAUCACAUAGAAUUCUCUUACCUUUUGGUAAGGAGACCAUUCCACGAGGCAAGGUGAUAUGCCAAUGUUCUUCGUGCUUUGAAGUUUACCUAGAUCUAUAUUUCAAUUGUUGCUAAAGAAUUUGAUGAGUUUUCUAAGCCAAUGUUUUGCUUAAGUCUUGAGUUGUGGAUUCGGUUGAAUGAUUUGCUUACUUGUUGGGAGAAUGAGUAAUCUCAAUGUCUUAAUAUAGUAACUCUAUUAUGCCCUUUGUAAUAUUGGUUUGAUUUGACGGUUUGUUGUCAAAUCGAAGGAUACUAUCUCUAAUUCAUUAAUGUUGAAUGAGAUAGGAAAAUUGACCAAUCUAAUUAUGUUAGAGUUUUUGAAAAUGAGGAAACAACACUUGACAAGGAUUUCACCAGGAAUAAAUAUAUGUGAAAGUAGAACAUUCAAGUUUCUCGACCUUGAGCGAGUUGGAAUCCUAAUCGUAAUUGACUGCACUAACACUAAUUGGAUGUUCUAGAGAUGUGAUUCACAAUAAUUUGGGUCUUUCCUUCAAGUUAACACGACACUUCAAAAGUGGACGAAAGUCGUUUUCCCCCUGUGUCUUUGCUGUCAAAUAUUUAUGACAUGAGCAUAGAUCUCCAGGUUAUUGAGACCACCUCAUUGGGUUAUUGAACCUGCCUCCUGAUGAGAAAGAGCGAUCGUGUACUUUCAAGCUAAAAUGGCUCAAAGAAUGCGUUGACCGAGUUGCUACUUGAUGAAUUUCUUUACUUCAUGUUACCUUAAUGUAGGAUAUUUGAGAUAUGGUUCCAUUUCUUCUAUUUGUAAUUGAAGGUGUAAGAAAUGCAAGUUCUCCAACUUUUGAGCCUAGAACGACUAGACCUCGUUGGGUCUGACAGUAAAACUAUUCUACGCUCUUGAAUAUGGGAAACUUUCCAUUGAUGGAAGAAGAUCACGGGAGCGGAACAAGGAGAAGAAAUGACUAACGAGCUCUUAUUUCCCGGUUAGCAGGAGUUUAGCAAGCUACUGAUGCAUUUUUUUUUAUGAAGCACGCUCGAGAAUCUCCAUUUCUUUGAGAAGUCAACAUUAAAAGCUGUACUGAAAUGAGACGCUUGUCCUAAGAUCCGAGAGUGUACGAGUCUGAGGAAUGGGGGAAAAAUCAAAGAUGCUUAGGCCAAGAUUAUCUAAAUAAAACGGUAUAGAAGAUCUUCAAUUCUAAGGUUUGUGUUGUGCCUCUGUAUAACUAAAUUAUAUUUGUCUCAAUCAUUAAUACGCCCCGCUUUAGUGUUGUAUAACAUGUUCUUUAACUAGUAAAUUCACUUAUUCAGUUAGUUAUUUCUACUUGUCCAAAUAUUUCCAGUUAGAAAUGUGAAGCAUCAAAAUUGUAAUUUCUAGGCAAGUCAUCUCUUUCUUAUUGCAAUCUCUUCUACCAGGGUCAAGGAACAAGAAGCUAGUUAUGACGACGAAUCUGGAGCUAGUGAUGAUGGAAGCCGAGUGAUGUUUACGACUCCAAAACUGGCGGGUAUUCCUCUCGUGGUAGCUAGUCUCAGACGUUCUUAGAGUGCCAGACAAAAUAUAUGAUCGUUUUUCAAAUUUUUGCUGCGUGGGACUCAACUCUCCCCUUCUAUACUAUAGUGCUAAUAGAAGCUUCAAGCUUAGCCUCAAGCCCGAGUCAUUGGAGCAAUCAUCAGAAGAAGUAAUAGUCAAGCCAAACAGGCUAUUUUAUGCUGAUAAAGGCUAGCUUCAAAAGAACAGCAGACAUCCAUUGCCAGAGAGAUUCCAAUACCAGAUAUGCUAUUUUAUGUCACUCGAUGACUUGAUUGGGACAUUCUUGUUUUAAUACGGGAAGAUGGUGAUGCAUCCUUCUAAUAUAUUGGCAGAACCUAUUCGAUUGUUCUCUGGUUACACUUGACAUAUAUAUAGGCAGAAUUUGUUCUGAAGUAAAUGGGGUCAGUGACCCCCUCCCAUCCAUGUAGGUCUGUGGUCCGCCUCUGUAAAUUUCAGUUCCCUUUGUAAAGACAUUACCAAAAUAGAAUUAUUUUUCCUUAUGAGCUUCCCAGAACGAAAAUUGCAAAAUAGUGAUGAGACUGAAUGUUUGUUUUGUUGAUGUUGGUUAGUCUAUGUCUAUCCCAAGAUAAAAUGACACUUGUUGCGAGACAAUUUGACUGAUCUUUGAAGCUAAAUUAGACUAUAUCAAUUCAAUAUUCUAAGAUUGAAAUUCAUAUAUUGUUUAAAAAUUAUACAAAAAGUACUAUAAGUUGUAAUUUCUCUCAUGUUAAUAUGAUAAAAAUAUACAAUUUAAAAUGCUGGCUAAAUUUACAUAGUUUGAAUUUCAAAAAAUGAGAAGUGUCACAUAAAUUGGGAGGCAGAUGUUACUUUUCUGAAAGUAAAUUUUUGUUCCUUUUCUAACAGUUCUGUCUAUGUAAUGGUUUAGCCAUGAUAAAAUUCUUUUCGUUAUGAUCUUCCCAAAAGGAAAAAUGGCUAAAUCAAACAUUGUUCAUCAUAGCACCAAGUCCUUAUGCAAUUUUUAUGAAGGUUGAAAUUAUGCUUUUCUUCACAAUUUCUGUAUAAAGAAAAAUAUGGUCCAAUUUG
rnacentral:lncRNA from 1 species